AUCUUCCAGAUUCUGUAUCCACCAGACCUCAGCUCUGGUCAGCGUGGUUACAAAAGGAGGAAACGUAAAAUUGAAACAGACUUAAAUGCUUUCGUGACACACAAGUUCGUUUCAAACAAAC
rnacentral:snoRNA from 1 species